UACUGCUUAAUAACUUGGAGAGACAAACACUUUUAUUUGCUGCACUGGCUUAGGCAGAAAACUAGACAUGGAUGCAUGGUGAUUGGUUCUCUUAGUAUGGUGGCUUGUGAUAAGGGGGCGGCUUGUAGUGGGGUGGCGGCUUCUUUGGGGGAGGCUUCACCGGAGGUCGUUGCAUUGGUGGUGGUUUGUAGGAGGCGAGGGACUCCUUGGCUUCGUCAUCUUCUUUGCUCGGAGGGUGACCGGGGUAGUGGCCAUGAGGAGGUUUCUUGACUGGUGGCUUCUUAACUGGGGGCUUGUGCACUGGAGGUGGCUUAUAGAGAAGCUCAUCCCGAGUGUUUUCUUCCUCACUAGGAGGGUGGCCACCAUGAGGUGGUGGUUUCUUAUGGGGUGGCUUAUGCUUUGGAGGUGGUUUGUAUACUGGAGGCUUGUGACCUGGGGGUUUUUUCAUCUCCUCAAACUCAAACUCAGCAUUUGAGUAAGUGGAGAGAACAAACACCCCAAGAAGCAACACCAGUAGCUUAG
rnacentral:lncRNA from 1 species